rnacentral:lncRNA from 1 species
CUGAACCCCACUCUCCCCACCUCCCGUGACCAACCUGCUUGAUCCCCAUCCCCAGCCUCCUUGGGCCGGCGGGCAAACUCGCCCCGUACGGUGAACCCCGCCGCCGGGUGCCACCCACCCACCGUAGUGCGCCCCAUCAACCCCCACCGCCGUGGGUUGCCCAUCGACAACGCCUCACCUAGUCAACCCCACCACCGUGCACUUCCCAACCAUCACGCCGCGCACCGCCAUCCACACUGCCGCGCGCCACCCGCAAUCCCCGCCUCCAUGACUCCUCCUUUGUCGUCCCGUUCUGCGGUAUCAAAUUUCGGCAGCAAUCCCGUUGAACAGCUUGGAUCCAUGGCGUCAGCGAGCAACUGCACCCCCACAGUCGCGCGACACCCUAGCAGGUGUAGGUGGGCGAGAGGGACGAAGAAGUGGCAAAGGAGCUCCAGCUCGAUCUGCUCGGCUGUCGGCGGAGGAGCGGAGCACCCCUCGCGCAGGUCUAGCUUGAUUCUUAUCGUCCGCCAUCGUGCGUUCAGAGGCCUCCCGCGCUCGAGCUCCUACAGGUGACAGGCAUCUCAUUCUUGCCGAUUUUAGUUGCCGCCACUGAGCUUCUCUGAUUCACCACUAUUCUUUGUAAUUCGCCCAUGCCUCUAUUUCUCUGGACCAGAAGAAGAGAGAAGUUUAUCCUAGCUGAGAGACAGAGUUGAAGCUCAACGUGUAUAUUAAAUAAAAGAAGAUUGCAGUGAUGAUGAGUGCGUGGCUGCCUGUAGUUCUUGUGUUUAAUACAAACACUCCCCUUUCCUUCCCUGCAACAAUGGACACAAGCAUGCAAGGUGCUUCUCCUAUUGUGUCUGCUGGAAGAAGUGGAAAUCUAAUCGGCGUGCAGGUUCUUGGGCAGGUGGGUGUGCUAGUGUAGUUUUUCAGUUGACGAUCUAGCUAGCGCACUUUCUUCAGGUUGGCACCGUUCAGUUUGAAAAGGUACGACCGUUCAUUUAGUGAAUACGCCACAAAUUAACUUUGGAAAGUAUGCUGUUGAGCACUUCUCUAGCUAGAUUUGUUCUUGUUUAUGCCCCUCGAAGUAAAUGAUUCCUCGCAGUCGAACUUUUGAAAGUCUAUACUGCAUUUUUCGUAACUUUAGUGUAGUGAGAAGAUGGGGGCACCAACAACGGACCAGCGGUGACCGGGCCUUCUCUCAUCCAGAUCCCCGCGGAUGUGUGUCAUCAAUGCCUUGAGCUGGGCCCGCUCAACCUCAGUCUCCAGGACGAAUACGGCGCUGCCCAGCAGGAAGGGUAACAAAAAAGUUGCAAAAAAUGCGAGUGCAGCUGAUUGCCUCCUCUGUGUUGUGAUGUACUAUGUGUUCUAGUUUUUUUUAAGUUCAUGUUGUGAACCCAACUAAGUUUGAGCACAAAAGUUUAAAUGGCGACUGGUUUGAAUUUUCUCCUAUAGCAAAAAUCUCGCUUCCCUCCUGUGUACUAUGUCCACUUAUGUGUUGUUUGUCAAUGCUUUUUAUCUGAUGUUCAGUAGUAUCUGUGGGUGCAAAAAAGUUGGUGUUGUGAUACAUUGGUUCAGUUUCAUAGGUCAUGCAAGAGAAAAUAGAAAAAAUGUAUUUUCUUCUCCAAAAAGCAUCAACGUUGUGGAGUGCUUAUCUUCUUGUGUACUUCUAUCGAUGCUUGUGUUCCAUGGAGAGAGAGAGAGGAAAUCAUUCAUGUUUCCUUUCUUUCUAUCUACUUCAGAGACAUUUUGUUAGAAAAAAGGUUAACGACACAUUCUCUUGAGAGAUACAAUGUUGUUCGGGCUUCAAUGCCUAUUUACAUGAAAGUUCAUGUUUCAGAAAUUUCUAAG